UUAAGCGACUAAGCGUACACGGUGGAUGCCCUGGCAGUCAGAGGCGAUGAAGGACGUGCUAAUCUGCGAAAAGCGUCGGUAAGGUGAUAUGAACCGUUAUAACCGGCGAUGUCCGAAUGGGGAAACCCAGUGCAAUUCGUUGCACUAUCGUUAACUGAAUACAUAGGUUAACGAGGCGAACCGGGGGAACUGAAACAUCUAAGUACCCCGAGGAAAAGAAAUCAACCGAGAUUCCCCCAGUAGCGGCGAGCGAACGGGGAGCAGCCCAGAGUCUGAAUCAGCUUGUGUGUUAGUGGAACGGUCUGGAAAGUCCGACGGUACAGGGUGAUAGUCCCGUACACCAAAAUGCACAGGUUGUGAACUCGAAGAGUAGGGCGGGACACGUGGUAUCCUGUCUGAAUAUGGGGGGACCAUCCUCCAAGGCUAAAUACUCCUGACUGACCGAUAGUGAACCAGUACCGUGAGGGAAAGGCGAAAAGAACCCCGGCGAGGGGAGUGAAAAAGAACCUGAAACCGUGUACGUACAAGCAGUGGGAGCACCUUCGGGUGUGACUGCGUACCUUUUGUAUAAUGGGUCAGCGACUUAUAUUCUGUAGCAAGGUUAACCGUAUAGGGGAGCCGCAGGGAAACCGAGUCUUAACUGGGCGUUAAGUUGCAGGGUAUAGACCCGAAACCCGGUGAUCUAGCCAUGGGCAGGUUGAAGGUUGGGUAACACUAACUGGAGGACCGAACCGACUAAUGUUGAAAAAUUAGCGGAUGACUUGUGGCUGGGGGUGAAAGGCCAAUCAAACCGGGAGAUAGCUGGUUCUCCCCGAAAGCUAUUUAGGUAGCGCCUCGUGAAUUCAUCUUCGGGGGUAGAGCACUGUUUCGGCUAGGGGGUCAUCCCGACUUACCAACCCGAUGCAAACUACGAAUACCGAAGAAUGUUAUCACGGGAGACACACGGCGGGUGCUAACGUCCGUCGUGAAGAGGGAAACAACCCAGACCGCCAGCUAAGGUCCCAAAGUCAUGGUUAAGUGGGAAACGAUGUGGGAAGGCACAGACAGCCAGGAUGUUGGCUUAGAAGCAGCCAUCAUUUAAAGAAAGCGUAAUAGCUCACUGGUCGAGUCGGCCUGCGCGGAAGAUGUAACGGGGCUAAACCAUGCACCGAAGCUGCGGCAGCGACACUAUGUGUUGUUGGGUAGGGGAGCGUUCUGUAAGCCUGCGAAGGUGUGCUGUGAGGCAUGCUGGAGGUAUCAGAAGUGCGAAUGCUGACAUAAGUAACGAUAAAGCGGGUGAAAAGCCCGCUCGCCGGAAGACCAAGGGUUCCUGUCCAACGUUAAUCGGGGCAGGGUGAGUCGACCCCUAAGGCGAGGCCGAAAGGCGUAGUCGAUGGGAAACAGGUUAAUAUUCCUGUACUUGGUGUUACUGCGAAGGGGGGACGGAGAAGGCUAUGUUAGCCGGGCGACGGUUGUCCCGGUUUAAGCAUGUAGGCUGAUUGUCCAGGCAAAUCCGGAUAAUCAAGGCUGAGGUGUGAUGACGAGGCACUACGGUGCUGAAGUAACAAAUGCCCUGCUUCCAGGAAAAGCCUCUAAGCAUCAGGUAACAUUAAAUCGUACCCCAAACCGACACAGGUGGUCAGGUAGAGAAUACCAAGGCGCUUGAGAGAACUCGGGUGAAGGAACUAGGCAAAAUGGUGCCGUAACUUCGGGAGAAGGCACGCUGGUGUGUAGGUGAAGUCCCUGCGGAUGGAGCUGAGACCAGUCGAAGAUACCAGCUGGCUGCAACUGUUUAUUAAAAACACAGCACUGUGCAAACACGAAAGUGGACGUAUACGGUGUGACGCCUGCCCGGUGCCGGAAGGUUAAUUGAUGGGGUUAUCCGUAAGGAGAAGCUCUUGAUCGAAGCCCCGGUAAACGGCGGCCGUAACUAUAACGGUCCUAAGGUAGCGAAAUUCCUUGUCGGGUAAGUUCCGACCUGCACGAAUGGCGUAAUGAUGGCCAGGCUGUCUCCACCCGAGACUCAGUGAAAUUGAACUCGCUGUGAAGAUGCAGUGUACCCGCGGCAAGACGGAAAGACCCCGUGAACCUUUACUAUAGCUUGACACUGAACAUUGAGCCUUGAUGUGUAGGAUAGGUGGGAGGCUUUGAAGCGUGGACGCCAGUCUGCGUGGAGCCAACCUUGAAAUACCACCCUUUAAUGUUUGAUGUUCUAACGUUGGCCCCUUAUCGGGGUUGCGGACAGUGUCUGGUGGGUAGUUUGACUGGGGCGGUCUCCUCCCAAAGCGUAACGGAGGAGCACGAAGGUUAGCUAAUCCUGGUCGGACAUCAGGAGGUUAGUGCAAUGGCAUAAGCUAGCUUGACUGCGAGCGUGACGGCGCGAGCAGGUGCGAAAGCAGGUCAUAGUGAUCCGGUGGUUCUGAAUGGAAGGGCCAUCGCUCAACGGAUAAAAGGUACUCCGGGGAUAACAGGCUGAUACCGCCCAAGAGUUCAUAUCGACGGCGGUGUUUGGCACCUCGAUGUCGGCUCAUCACAUCCUGGGGCUGAAGUAGGUCCCAAGGGUAUGGCUGUUCGCCAUUUAAAGUGGUACGCGAGCUGGGUUUAGAACGUCGUGAGACAGUUCGGUCCCUAUCUGCCGUGGGCGCUGGAGAAUUGAGGGGGGCUGCUCCUAGUACGAGAGGACCGGAGUGGACGCAUCACUGGUGUUCGGGUUGUCAUGCCAAUGGCACUGCCCGGUAGCUAAAUGCGGAAGAGAUAAGUGCUGAAAGCAUCUAAGCACGAAACUUGCCCCGAGAUGAGUUCUCCCUGAGACUUUAAGUCUCCUGAAGGAACGUUGAAGACGACGACGUUGAUAGGCCGGGUGUGUAAGCGCAGCGAUGCGUUGAGCUAACCGGUACUAAUGAACCGUGAGGCUUAACCUU
rnacentral:rRNA from 1 species